CAGGUUAUCUAUUAGAUAGGGUUUUCUUUUACAUGGAAAGUAUUUAGUGUGCAAUUCAUUAUAACUUGA
rnacentral:tRNA from 1 species